rfam:Colletotrichum salicis strain CBS 607.94 Scaffold_1409.1, whole genome shotgun sequence.
GUCAACGUGCCAGAGUGGUUAAUGGGCAGCCCUGCUAAGGCUGUGGCUUCGGUCGCGCAGGUUCGAAUCCUGUCGUUGACG